UGUCAUAUAGCCCAGGAUGGCUUCCAUCU
rnacentral:piRNA from 1 species